GGGGACGUAGCUCAGUGGUAGAGCGCGUGCUUCGCAUGUACGAGGCCCCGGGUUCGAUCCCCGGCGUCUCCA
rnacentral:tRNA from 1 species